rnacentral:lncRNA from 1 species
CUAUAGAUGGUCUAUUUACAAUACAUUCGACAUAUAAACAUUUUUAAUAAGAAAAAAAUAAAACGAAAAUUCAGAACAAAUGUACAAUAAGUGGAAGAGUAUAAACUUAACUUCUGGAUUAAACAACAACUAACAAGAUAAAAGUUUAGAGCCAAAAUAUAGAACGCUAUAACAAAAGACGAUACAACAAGUGGUGAUAUAGUUGAAUCAUAGAUCCCAACUGUAUCAUAUAAAAACAUGCAGAUAGGCAAUGCAAAUGAUGAAAACACAAAGAGUUUAUGGCAUUUUUUUCAGAAUUGGAUAGGGAUU